AUUUCAGAAAUGUCCGAUUUAAAAAAAGCUUGUCCUUCACAAGUUCGUAUAAAUUACCGCUAUUUUGUACUCUGCAAAUGACUACUUUAAAUGAAAUUGUCGUCAUCUACUCAUUAGUUUAUGGCGCGACCCACACGGCCAUAAUACUGAAUUAUGAUUUAAUGCUCACACUUCAAAAUAAUUUUAAUGCAAAUGGCACCUAGAAUGUAAAGGGACCAGCCUCGGAAAGGAAACAAGACGUUUUCAUACAAAGAAAAAGUCGACAAGUGAGAGACUCGACCUUCUGGCCGAAUACCGGAGCUGCAGUCAAGGAAUAUAGCACGAAAAACGCAAUGCGGCAAAGAAGUUACGUGACGGAAGAAUUUUUUACAGAUUUCAAACUUUCGAAAUCUACACGGAAUCCGCAACGACAAAAUCCCCAUAGAAAAAUCUGACACUACAUUGUGCAGGUCCGCCUCAGAGAUUUCCGAAAGACGUUUUUAGCUAUGUGCGCUAGCGAGGCCCGAAGAUGUUAUAGAAAGAAUCAACUUGGAUGCAUUAUCGUUGCCAUUGAAUUCCAAGGGUUUGCCUAAAAAGAGAUCCUGUUUCUUGUUCACUUGUCUCACUCAGUGUCACGUAUCCAGUAUUUGCUUUCUCAAUGGAACGUGCUGUGAUAACGACGAUACCAAAGCCACGAAAACUGAGUUAUAGGAGUAUUAAGCGUGCAGGAUGCCAUUCACAACUUGCAAGGCGAUUCUGCCUUCAUUGUCAACUCCUUCUGUCGAAUUGCAUCGUCUAGGAUCACCCAGGAAUUCCAGGACUCGUUCGGUAUAAAUAGCAGAGAGAGGACAGAUCCUUCCUAGUGAUAACCUUCACGACAUCAUAGCCGCUCUCUCGACCAAGGAUAAAAAGGCUUAUGCGAAAGUAUCUUGGCGAUCUCUGGACAAGAAGACGACAUGA